rnacentral:sRNA from 1 species
CAGGAAAAUGGCGAAAGCCAACUCCAUGUACAUUGAAUUGCUAGGACGGUGCUUACCUUCAGAGAAGUCAUUACAAAGGUUUAUCGCCAGGCUGUCGGGCAAAACACCGUACGAGAUCCGGGACGAGUUCAAGGACGAGAAACUGGAGACACUGGAUGGACUGAGGAAAGGGUCAGUCGUGGCGAAGAAAGAGACCACACUAUAUCCCAUCAACCUGGACAUGCCCUAGGGCACACGCAGGCACCACAGACCAAGAAGAUCCCAACGAACGUAUCAUGACUAAUAGAAUCCUACCACAUGUAUCAUGCUAAGUGUAUCAUAUCUUCUGUAACUAAUGAACAAAACACGCAAGUCUAUUUA